rnacentral:rRNA from 1 species
UACGAAGGGGGCUAGCGUUGUUCGGAAUUACUGGGCGUAAAGCGCACGUAGGCGGAUAUUUAAGUCAGGGGUGAAAUCCCGGGGCUCAACCCCGGAACUGCCUUUGAUACUGGGUAUCUCGAGUCCGAGAGAGGUGAGUGGAAUUCCGAGUGUAGAGGUGAAAUUCGUAGAUAUUCGGAGGAACACCAGUGGCGAAGGCGGUUCACUGGCUCGGUACUGACGCUGAGGUGCGAAAGCGUGGGGAGCAAACAGG